UACGGAGGGUGCGAGCGUUGUCCGGAAUCAUUGGGCGUAAAGGGCGCGUAGGUGGCCCGGUCAGUCUUUGGUGAAAGCGCGGGGCUCAACCCUGCGUCGGCCAGGGAUACUGCCGCGGCUCGAGCACUGUAGAGGCAGGCGGAAUUCCGGGUGUAGCGGUGGAAUGCGCAGAGAUCCGGAAGAACACCGGUGGCGAAGGCGGCCUGCUGGGCAGUUGCUGACACUGAGGCGCGACAGCGUGGGGAGCAAACAGG
rnacentral:rRNA from 1 species